rnacentral:rRNA from 1 species
AUUGAACGCUGGCGGCAGGCCUAACACAUGCAAGUCGAGCGGAUGAAGGGAGCUUGCUCCUGGAUUCAACGGCGGACGGGUGAGUAAUGCCUAGGAAUCUGCCUGGUAGUGGGGGAUAACGUCCGGAAACGGGCGCUAAUACCGCAUACGUCCUGAGGGAGAAAGUGGGGGAUCUUCGGACCUCACGCUAUCAGAUGAGCCUAGGUCGGAUUAGCUAGUUGGUGGGGUAAAGGCCUACCAAGGCGACGAUCCGUAACUGGUCUGAGAGGAUGAUCAGUCACACUGGAACUGAGACACGGUCCAGACUCCUACGGGAGGCAGCAGUGGGGAAUAUUGGACAAUGGGCGAAAGCCUGAUCCAGCCAUGCCGCGUGUGUGAAGAAGGUCUUCGGAUUGUAAAGCACUUUAAGUUGGGAGGAAGGGCAGUAAGUUAAUACCUUGCUGUUUUGACGUUACCAACAGAAUAAGCACCGGCUAACCUCGUG